rnacentral:misc_RNA from 1 species
GAUGAAGAACGUAGCGAAAUGCGAUAAGUAAUGUGAAUUGCAGAAUUCAGUGAAUCAUCGAGUCUUUGAACGCACAUUGCGCCCCCUGGUAUUCUGGGGGGCAUGCCUGUCCGAGCGUCAUUGCCGCCCUCAAGCACGGCUUGUGUGUUGGGCCCCCGCCCCCCGGCUUCGGGGGGCGGGCCCGAAAGGCAGCGGCGGCACCGCGUCCGGUCCUCGAGCGUAUGGGGCUUCGUCACCCGCUCUGUAGGCCCGGCCGGCGCCCGCCGGCGACCCCAAUCAAUCUUUCCAGGUUGACCUCGGAUCAGGUAGGGAUACCCGCUGAACUUAAGCAUAUCAAUAAGCGGAGGA